rnacentral:rRNA from 1 species
AUUGAACGCUGGCGGCAGGCCUAACACAUGCAAGUCGAGCGAGCGACGGACGGGUGAGUAAUGUAUGGGGACUGCCCGAUAGAGGGGGAUAACUACUGGAAACGGUAGCUAAUACCGCAUACUAUCGGAUAACCCAUAUGGGAUUAGCUAGUGGGUGAGGUAAUGGCUCACCUAGGCGACGAUCCCUAGCUGGGCUGAGAGUAUGAUCAGCCAAAUGGGGACUGAGACACGGCCCAGCCUCCUAUGGAGGCAGCAGGGGGAAAUAUUGCACAAUGGGCGCCAGCCUGCGGCAGCCAUGCCGUGUGUACGAAGAAGGACCUAGGUUUGUAAAGUACUUUGAGUCGGGAGGCGUUACCGACAGAAGAAGCACCGGCUAACUCCGUGCCAGCAGACGCGGUAGCAC